UGAGCAACCUGCCCUUGACUCUGGAAUAACAGUUGGAAACAGCUGCUAAUACCGGAUAUGACUUUGUGUGACAUCACACGAAGUGGAAAGCCCUGGCGGUCGAGGAUGGGCUCGCGGCCUAUCAGUCUUGUUGGUGAGGUAACGGCUCACCAAGGCUUCGACGGGUAGCCGGCCUGGAGAGGGCGACCGGCCACGACUGGGACUGAGAUACGGCCCAGACCUCCGUAGGGACGG
rnacentral:rRNA from 1 species